UCAAGGUGGAUGGGAAGGCCCGGCAUAGAAUGGCAUCGGGAGCACCGUGAAGCAGCAUCAUCGUCCGGAAGGCUUCCAGAUGAUCAACCGGGUUUGAAGUCCCGUCGUAGCUUUCGAACUGGGGGAGCUUGAAGUUUGGCGGGAUCGGUUCCUGCAUGAUCAUUUGAGAGAAGGGAGGGUCAGUACAAAUAUCCUCACCAUAAGCGGGGGGAGCAUGGCGGAGUUCUUCGAUCCGCCGGUUCAUCUCUUGGAGUCUCCGGUCCAGAAAAU
rnacentral:lncRNA from 1 species